rnacentral:lncRNA from 1 species
UGCAGGGUUGCCUAGAAGCCGAUGAUCACUGUAAAGUUCCCCAAUGAAUUAAGUUUGGGCCAGGAGAUACUAAAGGAUACAAAAAUGGCAGACUCACUGCUGUUCUGGAGGUUGUGAAAAAUCUUUUUAAAAAUUAUCAUGAAGAAAAUUCAGGUCUCCAAAUGUACCUCUACUCGAUUAACUAAGGAAAAGCUGUUUGUAAUCUAGGGACCGCAAUAGCUGUCACAAUUAAUACUGAGUAUGUGCUGUUCUAUCAUUUUUGGCAAGGAUUGGUGUUUCAUCAUUUAGACACAUCAGGUACUUACAUUGCAGUGUCAUAUAAUUUAAAUUGGCAUUGUUUAAAAUGAUGAAAAAAUAACAAAGUACCAAUCAGAAACUAAAUUUUAGUACAGUGGGAAGGAUUCAUCCAUUGAAUUGGAUUGAUAGAAGAUGAGACAGCAAUUUAAUAGAGUUUUGUUCAUCUUUUCCUUUCUUGGUUGACUAACACUGACAUUUUUGAGGUCUUUUAUUUCUACAGAACGUUCUCUGCAGUCUCCUCUUCAAAUACGGCUCUUGGCUAUGCUUGUGAAUUUUGUGAAUAUACAAUUAUUUCAAAUUAAAUACUAACUGAAUGUG